rnacentral:rRNA from 1 species
AUUGAACGCUGGCGGCAUGCUUUACACAUGCAAGUCGAACGGCAGCGCGGGCUUCGGCCUGGCGGCGAGUGGCGAACGGGUGGGUAAUACAUCGGAACGUGCCCAGUAGUGGGGGAUAGCUCGGCGAAAGCCGGAUUAAUACCGCAUACGACCUGAGGGUGAAAGCGGGGGAUCUUCGGACCUCGCGCUAUUGUAGCGGCCGAUGGCAGAUUAGCUAGUUGGUGGGGUAAAGGCCUACCAAGGCGACGAUCUGUAGCUGGUCUGAGAGGACGACCAGCCACACUGGGACUGAGACACGGCCCAGACUCCUACGGGAGGCAGCAGUGGGGAAUUUUGGACAAUGGGCGAAAGCCUGAUCCAGCAAUGCCGCGUGUGUGAUGAAGGCCUUCGGGUUGUAAAGCACUUUUGGCGGGAACGAAAAGGACUGUGCCAAUACCACGGUUCGAUGACGGUACCCGCAGAAUAAGCACCGGCUAACUACGUG